CGCGGAGGUCUGACAGGAAAUCUGCCAUGUCUGAAAGGUCGUUAGAGGGACGGCAGCGAUGAACGGACAGGAAGUCGGCCAUGACGGAAAGGUCGUUUUUAAUGGCAUGGGGGACGGGCGCGGAGGUCGUACGGGAAAUCCGCCACGACAGGAAGGUCGCGGGGAAAGGAAGUUGAGGUUACGGCUAAGGAGCACGGACAGGAAGUCGGCCAUGACGAGAAGACUUUGUGAACUAACAACUGCAACAACAAGCUGAACCUUUUGAGGCUGAAGACGUGUUAGAAAUGGUAUGUACAUUUAUGGCAGAGAGGAUCAAGGAAAAGUAUUUGGAGAGGAAAUUAGCGGAGCAUGCAGAGACAGACAGCAAUAACUGUCAUUUUUCCAAAGGCAUGUAAAGCAUUCCAAUUCAAACCAUUCUGAUUAUGAAAUUUCACAAAAUGGACCCCUGAAUGUAAAGCUUGCCGUUUUGAACAUGAAACUGUUUUGAGCAUCUGGAACAUGAUCUUAAGCUUUGACGAUAAGCUUCCAGAAUGCUCAAAGUGGUUCAAAAUGAAACUCUUAUUACAGACCCAAAGCUUUUUGUUGUCCCACUGCAUUAAAACAUUUCUUUUAAAAGUA